CGAAGCCAGAGGAAACUCUGGUGGAAGUCCGAAGCGCCUCUGACGUGCAAAUCGAUCGUCGGAACCGGGUGUAGGGGCGAAAGACCAAUCGAGCCGUCUAGUAGCUGGUUCCCUCCGAAGUUUCCCUCAGGAUAGCUGGCGCCAGAGGGAGAACGACACGCAAUUCCAUCCGGUAAAGUGGACGACUGGAGGCUCCGGGGACGUUCACGGCCUCGAUCUACUCUCGAACUCGGAACGGGCCAAACGGGUCGCUCCUCUCCCGAUCGGAGGUGGCCAUACGAAUUGUUUUGCGAUGAAUAACUAUGUUAAGGGUAUAUGUGUAUAUGUGGAGUGCUCAGCUACCUGCAUAUUAAUUUCACAGGCAGGCUGUUCCACUGAU
rnacentral:ncRNA from 1 species